AGUGGACUAUGCUCUGAUAACACCACGGCUUCAUAAUUGCAAUGUUUCACCACUGACAAAAGCUCAUAAAUUAUCAUUUAAAAAAUAUUUCCUAGUGUCUGUGGUGCUGCACAAGGUUGUUAAUGUUAGUGUCUGUGGUGUUAGAGGUUGUUAUUAAUGUUACUGUCUGUGGUCCUGGAGGUUGUUAUUAAUGUUACUGUCUGUGGUGUUUGAAGUUGUUAAUGUUAGUGUCUGUGGUGUUGAAGGUUGUUAUUAAUGUUAAUGUCUGUGGUGUUGGAGGUUGUUAAUGUUAGUGUCUGUGGUGUUGGAGGCUGUUAAUGUUAGCGUCUGUGGUGUUGAAGGUUGUUAUUAAUGUUAGUGUCUGUGGUGUUGGAGGUUGUUAAUGUUAGUGUCUGUGGUGUUGGAGGUUGUUAAUGUUAGUGUCUGUGGUGUUAGAGGUUGUUAUUAAUGUUAGUGUCUGUGGUGUUGGAGGUUGUUAAUGUUAGUGUCUGUGGUGUUGGAGGUUGUUAAUGUUAGUGUCUGUGGUGUUAGAGGUUGUUAUUAAUGUUAGUGUCUGUGGUGUUGGAGGUUGUUAAUGUUAGUGUCUGUGGUGUUGGAAGUUGUUAAUGUUAGUGUCUGUAUUGUUUGAAGUUGUUAAUGUUAGUGUCUGUGGUGUUGGACGUUGUUAAUGUUAGUGUCUGUGGUGUUGGAGGUUGUUAAUGUUAGUGUCUGUGGUGUUGGAGGUUGUUAUUAAUGUUACUGUCUGUGGUGUUGGAGGUUGUUAAUGUUAGUGUCUGUAUUGUUGGAAGUUGUUAAUGUUAGUGUCUGUGGUGUUGGAGGUUGUUAAUGUUAGUGUCUGUUGUGUUGGAGGUUGUUAAUGUUAGUGUCAGUUGUGUUGGAGGUUGCUAAUGUUAGUGUCUGUAGUGUUGGAGGUUGUUAAUGUUAGUGUCUGUUGUGUUGGAGGUUGUUAAUGUUAGUGUCUGUGGUGUAGGAGGUUGUUAAUGUUAGUGUCUGUUGUGUUGGAGGAGGUUGUUAAUGUUAGUGUCUGUGGUGUUGGAGGAGGUUGUUAAUGUUAGUGUGUGUGGUGUUGGAGGUUGUUAAUGUUAGUGUCUGUGGUGUUGGAGGUUGUUAAUGUUAGUGUCUGUGGAGUUGGAGGUUGUUAAUGUUAGUGUGUGUGGUGUUGGAGGUUGUUAAUGUUAGUGUCUGUGGUGUUGAAGGAGGUUUUUAAUGUUAGUGCCUGUGGUGCUGGAGGUUGUUAAUGUUAGUGUGUGUGGUGUUGGAGGUUGUUAAUGUUAGUGUCUGUGGUGUUGGAGGAGGUUGUUAAUGUUAGUGUCUGUGGUGUUGGAGGUUGUUAAUGUUAGUGUCUGUGGUGUUGGAGGUUGUUAAUGUUAGUGUCUGUGGUGUUGGAGGAGGUUGUUAAUGUUAGUGUCUGUGGUGUUGGAGGUUGUUAAUGUUAGUGUCUGUGGUGCUGGAGGUUGUUAAUGUUAGUGUCUGUGGUGUUGGACGUUGUUAAUGUUAGUGUCUGUGGUGUUGGAGGAGGUUGUUACUGUUAGUGUCUGUGGUGUUGGAGGUUGUUAAUGUUAGUGUCUGUGGUGUCGGAGGAGGUUGUUACUGUUAGUGUCUGUGGUGUUGGAAUGGUUGAGAAGGUUAAGAGGGCAGUGCUUUCAUUAACUGUGGAGGAAUCUUU
ensembl:lncRNA